UACGAAGGGUGCAAGCGUUUAUUCGGAAUCAUUGGGCGUAAAGCGCGCGCAGGCGGAUUGAUAAGUCAGGUGUGAAAUCUCGAGGCUCAACCUCGAAACUGCGCCUGAAACUAUUAGUCUAGAAUGUCGGAGGGGGCAGGGGAAUUUCACGUGUAGGGGUAAAAUCCGUAGAGAUGUGAAGGAACACCGGAGGCGAAGGCGCCUGCCUGGACGACUAUUGACGCUGAGGCGCGAAAGCGUGGGGAGCAAACAGG
rnacentral:rRNA from 1 species